GGGGACCCAACUCAUUUCAAAACUGAAGAUGAAGCUCAAGAUUAUUUUGCUCUGCAUUGUGGCCGGCACUAAUCAAUAUUCUUUUGGAUUGGGCAGAAAAUAACCUUAAGCCGACAAUCCUUCCAGGAGAAAGGUUAUUUAUCUUUGGGAUAUAAUAGCUACAUAUGUAGAAAUGGUAUCCUUUGAAAAAUAAACCCGAAGCUGAAUUAUUAAAGUCGCUUUUCAGGGCAGGGUUCACACAGGUGUUUCUAAAUAGUCUUUUGGUUCCGUUAAGAAGGCAUCUUGAGGAUUCCUGAUUUUUCUGGGGGGGAUUUUCUUCCCUUAUCUGCGGCUGGAAGUCGCACGAGUUUUAAUUACAGACCCGUCGACCUCACCCACCAUAUUCUCACCCUAUACCUGCCACGUAUGAUGAUAUCUGGGACCUUGGGCGGAUAGAUGUUUUUUGGGUGCCGUUGCUGCAUCAGCAACAGCAGCUAGCCCACCAGCAACAUCUGCAGCAGAUACUCAAGGCGAAGGCAGCCGCCGCCGUGGAUAUCAACAUCAAGAUGAAGCUGAAGAUGCUCCUACUGUUCAUUGUGGCCCACCUCAAUGAAAGUGUUCUCGGGUCACAAUAACGAAUGACCUUUGCUAAAAAGUGCAAACACCGGACCUAAUCGGGAAUCCAAAAGAUUAAAAGGCGUUGCCAAUUCGGUUAUGGAUCGGAAUAUAAAUAUUCCUUAAAGAGCAGAGAAAGAUGGGGACCCAACUCAUUUCAAAACUGAAGAUGAAGCUCAAGAUUCUUUUGCUCUGCAUUGUGGCCGGCCUCACUGGAGAAUUUUCCUUUGGAAUGGGCAGAAAAUCGACUUAAGCCGAGAAUCCUUUCAGGAAAAAGGUUAUUUAUCUUUGGAAGCUGAAUAAUUAAAGUCGCUUUUCAGGGCAGGGUUCACACAGGUA
rnacentral:sRNA from 1 species